CUGGGCCCAGGCUCCAUUCGGACCUCCCAUUUUUCUAUCCAAAAACACCCCUCCCUAUGGAAUAGUCUGUGCCAGGCUAAGCAGGGCCCAGUGCUGGGGCCAAAGGCACACAGAGGAAGUCUCCCUUGGAAAACCUUGAAAGUAAGAAAUGGAUGGCCUCAGAGGACACAGCGAUGAUGCUGACAAUGGGUGGAAAACUGCUCAGCUGAAAAAUGAAGAGACAUAUCUACCCACGGGCAUCACUGGAGUUUCAGAGAUCAUGUGAAGAGCUGUGCUUAAGACUGGAAGUUCUGGAGCCAGGCUGCUUACAGUCAAACCUGACUUGGUCACUCACCAGCUGUGCAACUGAAGGCAAAGCAAUUUACCCUCUCUGUGCCUCAGCCUCUAUUGUAAAACAGGGACAAGAAUAAAAGGGCUUGCCA